GACGAACGCUGGCGGCGUGCCUAAUACAUGCCAGUCGAACGCACAGUUUAUACCGUAGCUUGCUACACCAUAGACUGUGAGUUGCGAACGGGUGAGUAACGCGUAGGUAACCUGCCUGGUAGCGGGGGAUAACUAUUGGAAACGAUAGCUAAUACCGCAUAAUAUUAAUUAUUGCAUGAUAAUUAAUUGAAAGGUGCAAUUGCACCACUACCAGAUGGACCUGCGUUGUAUUAGCUAGUAGGUGAGGUAACGGCUCACCUAGGCGACGAUACAUAGCCGACCUGAGAGGGUGAUCGGCCACACUGGGACUGAGACACGGCCCAGACUCCUACGGGAGGCAGCAGUAGGGAAUCUUCGGCAAUGGACGAAAGUCUGACCGAGCAACGCCGCGUGAGUGAAGAAGGGUUUCGGAUCGUAAAGCUCUGUUGUAAGAGAAGAACGGGGGUGAGAGUGGAAAGUUCACAAUGUGACGGUAGCUUACCAGAAAGGGACGGCUAACUACGUG
rnacentral:rRNA from 1 species